GACCCCAGGUCAGGCGGGAGCACCCGCUGAGUUUAA
rnacentral:rRNA from 1 species